UGCCAGCAGCCGCGGUAAUACGGAGGGUGCAAGCGUUAAUCGGAAUUACUGGGCGUAAAGCGCGCGUAGGUGGUUUGUUAAGUGGGAUGUGAAAGCCCCGGGCUCAACCUGGGAAUUGCAUCCCAAACUGACAGGCUAGAGUACAAUAGAGGGGUGUGGAAUUUCCUGUGUAGCGGUGAAAUGCGUAGAUAUAGGAAGGAACACCAGUGGCGAAGGCGACACCCUGGAUUGAUACUGACACUGAGGUGCGAAAGCGUGGGUAGCGAACAGGAUUAGAUA
rnacentral:rRNA from 1 species